rnacentral:rRNA from 1 species
UACGAAGGUGGCAAGCGUUGUUCGGAUUUACUGGGCGUACAGGGCGCGUAGGCGGUUGGAUAAGCCCUCCGUGAAAUCUCCAGGCUUAACCUGGAAAGUGCAGAGGGGACUGUUCAGCUAGAGGAUGGGAGAGGAGCGCGGAAUUCCCGGUGUAGCGGUGAAAUGCGUAGAGAUCGGGAAGAACAUCGGUGGCGAAAGCGCUCUACUGGACCGCAACUGACACUCAGGGACGAAAGCUAGGGGAGCGAAUGGG